UGCUGUUGGCCCCCUAUCCUCCUCUAAAACCGAACCUGGCCUAGGAUUCCCUCAACCAGUUAUUAGUCUUAAAUCCCUACCCCGGGCCUCGGGUCCUGACGUCGGGGCAGACCCCCAAACCAUCCGUUCACGUUUUAUUCAUGCGUGCUGCAACCCGGGCCCUGGGGAUGGAGAAAGAAAAAAGAUCCUUAGCAUCCAAGAACUGGCUUUCCGGGAGCUGGGCAGACGCGCAGACUUACCGCUGCAUUUCAGAGUGAUACGUGCUAUGGUAGAGGGAUGCAGAGUGCCUGGGCUCGGGGAGGAGUGGCAUCCAACCCAGCUUCUGGGAAGGAGGGGACUGGAGGGAAAGAAAACGCUUGGAUUGAGUCCUGAAAGUCACAGUUUAGCUCAGUGCAGUUGCGUGGGGACUCCUUCCCUGCAGCGGGAACCGCACGUGCCAAGGUAGGAGAGCAAGAAAAAGCAAAUCGCUUAGGAAGCCAAGUUCACAGUUCUGGGGCUUGCAGAGGAGAGAGGCUGGAGGGCUAGGAAAAGGUACCCUUGAAAGGCAUUGUAUACACUGCCGAAGAGUUUGAACUCUCUGGAGAGGGCGGUGGAGAGCCAUCAAGGGCUUUUAAGGCAGGGGAGUGACCCAGACAAAUUUAUCUCUUAGAAAGGGAGUUUAGCUUCAAUGCGGAGGAUGGAUUGGAGCGACUAGAGCUGCGCCGUCCGGUAGAAAUUUCAGGGAUGAUGGAAAUGUUCUUAAUCAGCACUAUUCAGUAUGGCAGCCGGUAGCCACAUGUGGCUAUUGAGCACUUGAAAUGUGGCAAGAUUGAGAAACUGAAUUUAAAAAUUUAUGUGUCUUAAUUAAUUACAUCUUAAUUAAUCUACAUCUAAAUUUCAGUAGCCUCAUGUGACUAGUGGCUGCUCUAUUGUGUAGUGCAGGUUCAGAGAUUGGAAGGCCAGUUAGGAAGCUGUUGAGGAAUCCAGAUAAAAAGAGAUGAGGGUCAGAACACUCUGCCAGAUUGACUUGUAAUAAAUCCAGUCAUGUCAUCUUUAAACCCCUCACUGGAUCUCCAACACCCUCACCAUAAAAUCCCCAAAUCCAAAUUCCUUUAUUUUGUUAUUUUUUAAAUUUUUAAAUUUAUUUGGUUGCGCUGCGUCUUAGUUGCAGCAGGCGGGCCCCUUAGUUGUGGCAUGUGAACUCUUAGUUGCAGCAUGCAUGUGGGAUCUAGUUCCCUGACCAGGGAUCGAACCCGGGCUCCCUGCAUUGGGAGCUCGGAGUCUUAUCCAGUGGACCACCAGGGAAGUCCCAAAGCCAAAUUCCUUUAGAUACUUAAAGGUAAGAUUCUUAAUGGUCUGCCUGACUUCCUAUCCCCAUCCUCCCCCCUCCCCACCACACACACAUACUUUAUAUACCAGCCAUACAGAACUUUAAAAAAUUUAUUGAAGGCACUGCAGUCUUUCAUCCAGGCCUUCUCUCAUGCUGGUACCAAGGCCUAAGACACCCCACCCCCAUCCCAAUCAGGCUAACUUCUAUUCAUCAGUCAGGCCUCAACCUAAAUUUACUUUCCUCUGGAAAAUCUUCCUGACUACCCCAAGCCCCGGUUAUGUGUUUCUGUCAUGUGCUUUGUAGUACUUUGUACUUCCCUGUCCUAGCAUGUACUGUCCUGUACUGGGCUUGUUUAUUUGAUAAUUUAUAUUCCCCACCUGACUGUAAGUUCUGGUUGUAUUCCCAGAACCGCCUGGUACUUGGAAGGGAGGCAGUAUAGUACAGCGAUCAAGAGGAUCUCUUUUGAUGCUGGGCAGUUCUGGGUUUGAAUUCUGACCCAGGUGCUUAUUAGCUGUGUAAACUUUGGACAGGUUUCUUAACCUCUGAACUCCAGUAAACUGGGGAUGAUAAUGAUACCUAUCUCAUAGGGUUGAUGUAAAGAUUAAAGGAUUCCAUUUAUGCAAAGAGCUUAGUACAGGCAGAUCUCAGAGAUAUGCAGGUUCGGUUCUAAACCACUGCAAUAAAGCGAAUAUCGCAAUAAAGUGAGUCACACAAAUUUUGUUAUUUCCCAGUGCAUAUAAAAAUUAUGUUUAGGGACUUCCCUGGUUACCCGGUGGUUAAGACUCCACGCUUCUACUGCAGGGGGCACGGGUUCAAUCCCUGGUCGGGGAACUAAGAUUCCACAUGCUGCUCGGCGCGGCCAAAAAGAAAUCUUUUUUAUUUUUACGUUAUAGUCAGUUAAGUGUGCAAUAGCAUUAUGUCUUUUAAAAAUGUACAUGCCUUAAUUUAAAAAUACUUUAUUGCUAAGAAAUGCUAGCCAUCGUGUGAGUCUUCAGCGCGUUGUAACCUUUUUAGCUGGUGGAAGGUCUUGCCUCGAUGUGGAUGGCUGCUGACUGAUCAGGGUGAUGGUUACUGAAGGCUGGGGUGGCCGUGGCAGUUGCUUAAAGUAAGACAGCAGUGACGUUUGCCACAUUGAUUGACUCUUCCUUUCAUGAAGGAUUUCUCUGUAGCCUGCAAUGCUGUUUGAUAGCGUUUUACCCAGAGUAGAACUUCUUUCAAAAUUGGAGUUAAUCCUCUCAAGCCUGUCACUGCUUUAUCAAUCUUCACAACAUCUUCACCACGAGUAGAUUUUAUCUCAAGAAACCACUUUCUUGGCUCAUCCAGAAGAAGCAACUCCUCAUCCUUACUUCCUCCACUGAAGUCUUGAAUCCCUCAAAGUCAUCCAUGAGGGUCGGAAUCAACUUCUUCCAAACUCCUGUUAAUGUUGACAUUUUGGCCUCUUCCCAUGAAUCACAAAUGUUCUUCAUGGCAUCUAGAAUGGUGAAUCCUUUCCAGAAGGUUUUCAAUUGACUCUGCCCAGCUCCAUCAGAGGAAUCAUUAUCUAUGGCAGCUAUAGCCUUAUGAAGUAUAUUUCUUUUUUUUUUUUUAAUUAAUUUAUUUAUUUAUGGCUGUGUUGGGUCUUUGUUUCUGUGCGAGGGCUUUCUCUAGUUGUGGCAAGUGGGGGCCACUCUUCAUCGCGGUGCGCGGGCCUCUCACUAUCGCGGCCUCUCUUGUUGCGGAGCACAGGCUCCAGACGCGCAGGCUCAGUAACUGUGGCUCACGGGCCCAGUUGCUCCACGGCAUGUGGGAUCUUCCCAGACCAGGGCUCGAACCUGUGUCCCCUGCACUGGCAGGCAGAUUCUCAACCACUGCGCCACCAGGGAAGCCCUGAAGUAUAUUUCUUAAAUAAUAAGACUUGAAAGUCAAAAUUACUCCUUAAUCCACAGGCUGCAGAAUGGAUAUAGUGUUAGCAGGCGUGAAAACAACAUUGAUCUUGUUGUACAUCUCCAUUAGAGCUCUUGGGUGAGCAGGUGCAUUGUCAAUGAGCAGUAAUAUUUUGAAAAGUAUCUUUUUUUUCUGAGAAUUAGGUGUCAACAGUGGGCUUCAAAUAUUCGGUAAACUAUGUUGUAAACAAAUAUGCUGUCAUCCAGGCUUUGUUGUUCCAUUUAUAGAGCACAGGCAGAAUAGAUCUAGCUUAAUUCUAGCCUAAUUCUUAAGGGCCCUAGGAUGUUCAGAAGGGUAAAUGAGCGUUGGCUUCAACUUAAAGUUACCAGCUAGCUGCUUUAGCCCCUAACAAGAGAGUCAUUCUAUCCUUUGAAGCUUUGAAGCCAGGCAUUGACUUCUCCUCUCUAGCUAUGAAAGUCCUGGAUGGCUUCUUCUUCUAAUAGAAGGCAGUUUUGUCUACAUUGGAAGUCUGUUGUUUAGUGUUGCCACCUUCAUUAAUUAUCUUAGCUAGAUCCUCUGAUUUUUUUUUUUGGCUGUGCUGCGCAGCUUGCGGGAUCUUAGUUCCCCAGUCAGGGAUCGAACCCGGGCCCACAGCAGUGAAAGCGCACAGUCCUAACCACUGGCCCACCGGGGAAUUCCCUUAGUUUGAGCUUCUGAAUAACUUACUGUAGCUUCUACAACAGCACUUUUAAAAAAUAUAUUUAUUUAUUUAUUUGGCUGUGCCGGGUCUUUAGUUGUGGCAUGCGAACUCUUAGUUGCAGCAUGUGGGAUCUAGUUCCCUGACCAGGGAUGGAACCCAGGCUCCCUGCAUUGGGAGUGUGGAGUCUUAGCCACAGGACACCAGGGAGGUCCCUCUACAUCAGCACUUGCUGCUUCAGCUUGCACUUUUAUGUUAUGGAGAUGGCUUCUUUCCUUUUUUUAAAAAAUAAAUUUACUUAUUUAUUUAUUUAUUUUUGGCUGCGUUGGGUCUUCGUUGCUGCGCGCGGGCUUUCUCCGGUUGCAGCGAGUGGGGGCUACUCUUCGUUGCGGUGCGCAGGCUUCUCAUUGAGGUGGCUUCACUUGUUGUGGAGCACAGACUGUAGGCUUGCGGGCUUCAGUAGUUGUGGCAUGCAGGCUCAGUAGUUGUGGCUUGCGGGCUCUAGAGCGCAAGCUCAGUAGUUGCGGUGCACGGGCUUAGUUGCUCCGUGGCAUGUGGGAUCUUCCCGGACCAGGGAUCGAACCCAUGUCCCCUGCAUUGGCAGGUGGAUUCUUAACCACUGCGCCACCAGGGAAGUCCCUGGCUUCUUUCCUUAAACGUCAUGAACCAACCUCUGCUCGUUUCACACUUUGUUUCUGCUGCUUCCUCACCUCUCUCAGCCCUUGUAGAAUUGAAGAGAGUUAGGGCCUUGCUCUUUAUUAGGCUUUGGAUUAAGGGAAUGUUAUGGCUGGUUUGAUCUUCUAUCCAGACCACUAAAUCUUUCUCCAUAUGAGCAGUAAGGCUGUUUUGCUUUCUUGUCAUUCAGGUGUUGACUGAACUAGCACUUUUAAUUUUCUUCAGGAACUUUUCCUUUGCAUUCACAACUUAGCUAACUGUUUGGUGCAAGAGGCCUAGCUUUUGGCCUGUCUCAGCUUCUGACAUGCCUUCCUCACUAAGCAUAAUCAUUUCUAGCUUUUGAUUUAAAGUGAGAGACAUGUAGCUCUUCCUUUCACUUGAACACUUAGAGGCCACUGUAAGGUUAUUAAUUGGCCUAAUUUCAAUAUUGUUGUGUCUCAGGGAAUCGGGAAGCCCGAGGACAGGGAGAGAGACUUGGGACAGCUGACUGCUAGAGCAGUCGGAACACACACACAUUUAUCAAUCAAGUUUGCCGUCUUGUAUGGGCGCGAUUUGUGAUGCCCGAAAACAAUUACAAUAGUAACAUCAAAGAUCACUGGUCACAGAUCACCAUAACAAAGAUAAUAAUAAUGAAAACGUGUGAAAUAUUGCAAGAAUUACUAAAAUGUGACAUAGACACAGUCUCAGGCUAUGGAGAGCUCAAGCAAACACACUGGAUUUGGCCCUAGAUGGCCACUGGUGUCCUGAGUGCGAGUGGUCCCCAUUAAAUGGAAGUUGGU